CCGCGAGGCCGAGCCGGCCGUGAGGAGGUAGUGCGGGGCAGCGCGAUGCUCCAACGCCGCAGGGCAGCUCCGGGCUCCGAGCGCCGCUUCAGCUUCUACAAGGCAGCUCGUGUUGGAAGUUGGUGGUGUCACUGUGUGAAUGAAGGUCAGUUCAGGAGCAGCUGCUGAUGGAAGGAAUGAAGUCCACGGUAAUGAGCUGAAGCAUCUCCUGGUGGUUUUGCAGAGGUGAAACUCAGAUGGCAUCUUUUUACUGGUGGAAAAAGUUGGAGCAAAAAUCAUGGACCAAGUUGCUUUAGGGGAUGACUUGCCUCGUGUUGGAACAGGAGUUGGUGCCAUGAAGAACUGAAGUCAGCAAGAUGUUUGCCAAUUGUAUCAUGUAACAGAGACAUCAAAGAAAAUAUUCAUGGUCUUGGAGCAUUGUCCUGGAGGGAAGCUGUUUGAUUAUAUUGUUUCUAAGGACCACCUUUCAGAAGAGGAAGCUCGAGUCUUUUUUCGACAGACUGUUUCAGCACUUGCUUAUGUUCCCAGUCAGGGUCAUGCCCACAGAGACCUCAAACCAGAAGAUCCGCUGAUUGAUGAGAAACAUGUUUCUCAUAAUUUGAAGCUGACAGACUUUGGACUCUGUACAAAGCCAAAGGGAGGCCUUGAUGACCGCCUGAACACGUGCUGUGGAAGCCCAGCAUGUGCAGCACCAGAGCUAAUCCAGGGCAAAGCCUAUAUUGGCUCAGAGGCAGAUUUUUGGAGCAUGGGUGCACUGCGGUACGCUCUGCUGUGUGGGUUUCUUCCUUUUGACGAUGGCAGUGUGAUGGCACUCUACAGGAGGAUAACAGGAGAGAGGAAAAGACACUGUUCCAAAAUGGCUUUCCCCUAGCAGCACGCUGCUACUUGACCAACUGCUGCAGGUGAAAGGGCUGCUUCUAUUCAGAUUGAUGUACAAAAUGUUGUUGCAUCAGCUCAAAGCAUUGAUGGAGUGCUUAGAAAAUAUGCGGUGUUUAAACAAGUUAAACUGCUCCACACCUGAUGUCCUUGAAGAAAAGGUUAGCAUUGCCUUGUGCUGAAAAUUCUCCAAUAGUCACGUAGUACUAGUUAAUGGUUAUAGAAAUGAUUGCAGUUUUAAUAACUACACAGUCUUCAAGCAGCUUGCAUUUGGAUGUUCUUAAUUGUGCUGUGUAAUUAAAAGUGAUCUGUACACAAAAGCUGUUUCUCAAAGGAAGCUGAACGUACUGAGUGUGCCUUUGGGCUGUAUCUAUGCAGUCUCACAUACAAAAUGCUCGUGGAACAUUUACUGUAACCAUAGGUGCUGUAACUGUUCUUCACAGCUCAGGUGUUUGACCUUCCUUCUGGUGAAGGGAAUAAAUACUGCUGGUCUCUAUUUGUGCUUCCAGGCACCUUGAAGUUGUUAGGAAAAGAAUAACUGUCUGCAGUUCUUCUCGGUGAUGUAAGUAACAGCUUGAAUGUUGCUGCCCACUAGGCAGACCCAAAGAAGCAGAUGACAGUUAAACUCCUGUGAAAUCACCCUUGGCUCAUGCAAGGUUAUUCUGGUGCUGUUCAGUGGCAAAGUAAAUACCCAGUAAGUACACGCACUCGAAGAAGCCUAAGUAUGUUCUGGAGUCUUUCCUGGACCACUGGCAUCCUCUCAGAAUGGGAGUGAUAACACAUUUCUUCAGAGGCUGCUGACAAGUGGUGACUCUCCAGGGUCCAUUUUGGCACCUUCAACACCUUUGUCAGUGACAGAGAGAAUGGACCUAGAGAGCACCUUCAGAAAGCUUGCAGGCAGCCCCGUGCUGAGAGGUGCGGUGGAUCAAACAGGAGGUAGGGAUGUCUCAUCCUGGUGGCAUUCAGGGCCGGGUUGGAUGAGGCCCCGGACAGUUUGAUCUGGUGAGUUGCAGCUCUGCAACUUGGAGCUUGAUGGUCUUUAAGGUCCCUUCCAACUCAAGCCGUUCUAUGAUUCUCUGGAACUGUGCUUGUGCUCCUUAUCUCUCAAUUGUCUGACCUGUGCGAGAGGUUGGGGUAGCGGGGUUGGGGUGGGAACUGGGGGUGCGAGGGAGAUUCUUGCUGCAGAUACUGAGAAGUUGCUGUGUAUUUGCAGCCAAUGGCUGCUGCUGGCCUCUGGGUGCCACUGUUUCUCUGAAGAACAGCUGUGCUGAUGGUACACCACUGUGCUGUGCAUGCCGUGCAACUGAAUAAUUAAGAGGGGACAGAGGUGUAACUUGUGCUCUAGUGAAAAUCUCAUCUGCUGACAGGCUUUUGUACUUGAAUGCAGAACCUGUUGCCACAGAGGGACCAGUUGCUGAAGCGUGGUGACUCUUUCUGUUUACUCCUUGCAGUAUUUAGCCCUGAUGCUAACUAUUUAAAAUAGAAAAUCUGAAAUGGUGGCUAACUAUUGGCUUGAUUGGUGCAUAUCAGAAGACUAUCGUGGUGAUAGUGGCUCUGUGAGAUGACUUGGAAGCUGUUUCUUCAGUACAGGUCUUGUUCUUGCAGCUGGGGCACCUUGAUGAAGACUGUGCAACAGAACUUGCUGUGUUUCACAACCAGAGCAGAGAGAGUAUAUUGGCAUUAAUAUCAGAGGUGGAAUCGUGACCAGAUGUCACAGCCUAUCUCUUGCUUCAAUCCAGGAAGGUUCGUGGCAAGCGCAUCCACUUAAGGAUUCCAUCACAAACGACGUGCAGUACAACACAGCCAGCAAGCCAGGGAAGAAUCUCAACUGAACACUUCUUUUCAGUCUGAAAAGGCUGUGACAUCUGAAGAUGUGCCAGGUUGCAGCCAUGUGCCACAUGCAUUUGGAUCCAUGGAAUUUGCUGAUGGAACUUCAUUGUUUGAAGAAUCUCCACUAGAAGAGUUUGUUCUAAAUGCUCACAGAACAAAGCAGGUGUCUGAAGAUCCAGUGCUAGUUUCUGACAGAAAAAAUACAAUUCUUAAUCCAGAAAUCUGCUUCUCAGUGUGUACAAUGCUUAUUACAUAUUUAAGUAUCUAGAGGACCUUGACCAAAGGGAGAUACAGAUUGAGCAAAGAAGUAUGUUGAGCAUAAAUUGUGAUGCCUUCUACCUGAAAGCCAUGGUUCAUUUGAUGAGAACCUUAACUUCAGUGUUCGGUUUGCACUGAAACAGCGAGUAAGGAAACAAGCGAAGGAGUCAGUGAGGAUUUUAAAACAAAAUGGGAAGUGAUAAGGCACAGUUAAUAAGAUUUUGGAGUUAGGCAAGAGGUGGACAGAGCUUUAAAUGUACCAACAGAAAUUCAAUCUCUCUGUAUUGGACAAGAAAACCCACAGUGAAGCAAUUCAAAUUUCGCAGCUAAAAAAGUGAUAAUUCAUAGCUAUGUUUAGAUAAGCUGGUGAGGAGUAAUCCUAAAUGUAGAAUUUAGAUGAACAGAUAGAAAAAUGGCACUUGACAAUCUAUAAGAAGCAAACUCAUUUUAGGGGAGAAUCAGAGGUACUGUGUAUAACCAAGAUGUUAUAAUCACAAUAUAAUUGUGUAUAAUCAAUAGAUAUCAAAAUGUUAUAAUCGCAAUAUAAUCAAGAGAGUAAGGCAAAGCAGACAACGAUAACAAAAAGAGAAUAAGUGGAAGAGCUUACCCUUGGGCUGAGCUCACCAGAAGACACCAAAAGAGGGGAUCUCCACAAGAGAUCCUUCCCCUCUGGUAGCCAGCUCUUAAAUAGGUCCAGGAGGGGUGCAGCCUGGCUCCACCCCUUCCAGCAGCACAGGUGAAUUGCCUUCACCUGUGCUCCUCUGGCUGACUCAAGGCUCACCUCAGGUGAUCAAUCAGAGGUUCAGGCCAUGACUCAGCAGUUCCCAUACAUACUGAAGAGUUUUUAACUAUUUUGCUCAAUAGACAAGUAGUGUAUGAUGUUUUUAUGAGCAUUGUGUCUGACCUGCUUAGAUGUUAGAAUUUCCUUGACAGUGACUUCUCUGGAUGUGAUUGCAGUACCUGGCAGCAUUCAAGGUGUGAUACUCAGCUGGGCGAUAUGGAAUUCACACUGUCAGCUCCAGUGACAGGAAAAGUGGCAUCUAUGAAGCAUGCAAAGAAAUGUGGAUGCAGAGUCAGCAUGAAGAAAUGCGCUGCCCUUUGCACUUCCUGCUCCAAAGGCCUCCUUUCCAAAGAGUGAGACACAGAAGCAAGUGCAAGGCAAACCCCUCCAGGCACCUCCUUCCACAGAGAGCCAGUGCACGACAGUCAUCGCAGUUAAGAAGCCCAAAACACCAGCAAAUACGUAUGAACUGACAGCAGCUGAGGUUCUUCCUGAGAGGAGGUAAGUGUGCAGUUAUCUGUAUACGUUCUUGGUUUAGAGCAGUGCUACCUCAAUCAGUGAACAGCCUAGGAAGCAUUGUUCACAACAGCAAGCUGUAUUUCCUUUCUCUUGGUUAAAAUUCUCCUAAAACCUCUUGUAUUCCCUGGGAAACACUGAAAGCAGAAAAUAAAAAUUAAAACUAGAAGU